rnacentral:rRNA from 1 species
UACAGAGGGCCCAAGCGUUGUUCGGAUUCAUUGGGCGUAAAGGGUGUGUAGGCGGCGCGGUAAGUCGGGUGUGAAAUCUCGGAGCUUAACUCCGAAACUGCAUUCGAUACUGCCGUGCUUGAGGACUGGAGAGGAGACUGGAAUUUACGGUGUAGCGGUGAAAUGCGUAGAUAUCGUAAGGAAGACCAGUGGCGAAGGCGGGUCUCUGGACAGUUCCUGACGCUGAGGCACGAAGGCCAGGGGAGCAAACGGG